GUCUACGGCCAUACCACCCUGAACGCGCCCGAUCUCGUCUGAUCUCGGAAGCAGAGGUGGCGAUUUGAAUAGGAGAAUGCCCAUUCUGUUCAAAGCCCAUUCUGUGUCCA
rnacentral:rRNA from 1 species